GAUGCUUCCAAAUAAAAUAGUUCUCAACAAAUCCAUAUUGAUAAAGGUGACAUUUAACAGUUUCAACAUUCAUGAAUUUAAAGUUCUGACACUUUGUACAUGGACAUCUAACUUUGUCACCACUCAUCCAAUUUGGUUAAGAACAUGAGAAUUUGAUAAACUCACUCACACCGAUUACAAAUCUAGAGUAUAAAGCUCCUCAUCCAUCUAACCUCUCAUACAUCCAACCACGCUCUAGAUUAUUCGUGUUCAUAUUAAUGUAGAAAUCAAAAAACACAACAAUCAGUGCUAAUUAAACAACUUAAUAAGAAACACAACAAUUAGCCUUAAUAAUAAACCUUGUUGGAAAUUCAAAUUAACAAAUACGAUAAUCUAUGAUCAGACUCUAUA
rnacentral:lncRNA from 1 species